AGUGCCAUCCUUUCUUUGCUACAUGCAGAAUUUGGGUGCAUUUCUCAAAGGUUAAAACUGCAAACUUCUAUGGAGAACUGCACCCAAUUCUGCAUGUAGCAAAGAAAGGAUGGCACUGAUGAAUAGCUGCUUGUGUGCAAUUUCAAGGAAUAUAUAGUUUGUGGGGGGUAUUUCACAGGUAAGGGGGUGUUUAGACUGGAAAACUGCAAAGUGUACACUUAGAGGGCAGCCCCAAAUGUAUCUAUUUCCCCUGUUUUAGGGUGUUUGGUGACCGUAUCUUUAGGUGUACCCUUGCAUGUGUGGUAUGCAAGGGUAUAUGGUUUGUGGGGGGGUAUUUUGGGAGAAGUUGCUGAUCGAUUUUUAGUAGGUUUUUUUCCGUUGUCAUGUCAAUUUUGGAGAGAAAUCUAACUUUAGCCUGAAAUAAGGGGAAAAAAAAGCCAAAUCACAAACUUCUAUGGAGCACUUCGCCCCAAUUUCUGCAUGUAGGAAAGCAUGGAUGGUACCCCUGAAUAGCUGCAGUAGUGCACUUUCUAUGGAAUAUAUGGUUUGUGGGGGUAUUUCACAGGUAAGGGGGUGUCUAGGCUGCAAGGUGUUCACUCAGAGCGUAGCUCCAAAUUUUCCAACUGAAAUUGCCUUUGUGUUUUGGCCCUGUUUUGGGGUGUUUGGAGGCCGCGUCUCUGGGUGCACCCCUGCAUGGUAUCGUUUUGUUCAGGACAAGUUGCAGAUUGAUAUUUAGUAGGCUUUUUGUAGUUUUCAAGGCUAUUUUGGGGAGAAAUCUAACUUUGUCUCCCUUUUUUUGUUUAUUUCAGGCUUGACUGUAAACUUCUUCGGAGUGCUGCGCCCGCAAUUCUCCACAUAUGAAGGAAAGGUUGGCGCCGAUGAAUAGCUGCAGGCUAAACCGUAAAAUUCUUCAGAGUGCUGCGUCCGCAAUUCUCCGCGUAUGAAGGAAAGGAUGGUGCCGAUGAAUAGCUGCAGGCUAAACCGUAAAAUUCUUCAGAGUGCUGCGCCCACAAUUCUCCACGUAUGAAGGAAAGGAUGGCGCUGAUGAAUAGCUGCAGGCUAAACUGUAAACUUCUUCAGAGUGCUGCGCCCGCAAUUCUCUGCGUAUGAAGGAAAGGAUGGCGCCGAUGAAUAGCUACAGGUGUAUACUUUCUAGGAAUAUAUGGUUUGUGGGGUGUAUU